rfam:Lepisosteus oculatus linkage group LG7, whole genome shotgun sequence.
CCCCGACAAGCUCAGUUGGUAGGACAUGAGACUCAUAAUCUCAGGGUAAUGGGUUUGUGUCCCAUGUCGGGCG